AUGUCGUCCCUGAUAUUUCUUGCCAUAGCAAACAACUCCCUCGUAGGACAACUACCCUUCAAUAUUGGCUACACGCUACCAAAUAUUCAGGGCUUAAUUCUCUCAACAAACAACUUUAGUGGCUCAAUCCCAGCUUCUCUUCUCAAAGCUUACCAUCUACGCAAGCUUUACUUGUACAAUAAUAGCUUUACUGGAUUCAUACCAUCCUUCAGUUCAUUGCCAAAUUUAAAGGAACUAGAUUUGUCGUACAACAAGCUAAAAGCAGGCGAUUGGGGCUUUAUCUCUUCGCUCUCAAACUGCUCCAGAUUGACUAUGCUGAUGUUGGAUGGGAACAAUCUCCAAGGGAAUUUGCCAAGUUCCAUUGGAAAUCUUUCCAAUAGUCUCCAGCAGUUUUUUCUAAGAAACAACAAAAUUUCCGGGCCUAUACCGCCAGAGAUUGGCAAUCUUGAGGGCCUCAGUUGGUUGUACAUGGAUUACAAUCUUUUCACUGGCAAAAUACCGCCAACAAUUGGGAAUUUGUAUAGCAUGGUCUAUCUAUCCUUUGCUCAAAAUUUGCUCUCGGGCGAAAUACCAGAUACUAUUGGCAACCUUGUUCAGCUGAGUUCUCUAAAACUGGAUUGGAAUAACUUUACUGGAAAGAUACCUGGAAGCAUAGGACGUUGUACUCAGCUCCAAAAUCUCAACCUUGCUCACAAUUCACUAGAUGGCAGUAUACCGAGGAACAUCUUCAAAAUUUAUUCACUCACUGGAGAGUUGGAUUUGUCACACAACUACUUCUCUGGGGGCAUGCCGGAGGAAGUUGGCAAUCUCAUUAAUCUGAACAAACUUAGCAUCUCAAAUAACAGGUUGUCUGGCAAUAUCCCAUCCACUCUCGGACAGUGUGUAGUUUUGGAGAAUCUUGAAAUGCAAAGCAACUUCUUUGUAGGAAGCAUUCCGCAGUCCUUUGUGAAGUUAGUUAGCAUCAAAUCCAUGGAUAUUUCCCGUAACAGUUUGCACGGAAAAAUCUCAGAAUUCCUAGCAACUUUGAGUUCUCUGGAAAAACUCAAUAUAUCCUUCAACAACUUUUAUGGAGAGGUUCCAAGAGGUGGUAUAUUUGACAACGCGGAUGCAGUAUCAAUCCAAGGAAAUGAUCAUUUGUGUACAAGUGUUCCAACAGGAGGCGUGUCUCUUUGUUCUCCACAGGUGGACGACAAGAAACAGAAACACAACUCAUUAGUUCUAGUCCUCAAGAUAGUAAUGCCAAUUGUUGUCACUAUAAUAAUUUUGUCCUGUAUUGCGAAAAUUUAUUGGAGGAAGAGAGUGCAAGGAAAUACACAUCUGCAAAUAGUCAACGAGCAUAUAAAGAAUAUAUCAUACGAAGACAUUGUUAGGGCAACCAAUAAGUUCUCCUCUGCAAACUUAAUUGGCUCGGGAUCAUUUGGAACGGUUUAUAAGGGCACUCUGCAGUUCAAGAAAGAUCAAGUUGCUAUCAAGGUAUUCAAUCUUGACAUCUAUGGAGCACAAAGGAGUUUCAUUGCAGAGUGUGAAGCCCUACGAAAUGUCCGCCAUCGGAAUCUUGUAAAGAUCAUCACAUCAUGCUCUUCUGUGGAUUCUACCGGGGGAGAUUUCAAGGCCCUAGUAUUCCAAUACAUGCCGAAUGGGGAUCUGGAAAUGUGGCUAAAAAAUAAAACCCUUGGACAUGGUGAAAGAAAUAUUCUGACUUUAAGCCAAAGGAUUAAUAUUAGUUUGGAUGUGGCAUUUGCUUUGGACUAUCUCCACAACCACUGUGCACCUCCGCUGAUACAUUGUGACUUGAAGCCAAGCAAUAUUCUGUUGGAUAAUGAUAUGGUUGCAUAUGUCACUGACUUUGGACUAGCAAGAUUUCUGUUCACUACAUCAAAUGAAUAUCAAGAUAGUUCAGCAAGUUUGGCCUGCCUAAAAGGAUCCAUCGGAUACAUCCCACCAGAGUAUGGCAUGAGCGAAGAGAUAUCAACCAAGGGUGAUGUCUACAGUUUCGGAGUGCUUCUGUUACAAAUGAUAACAGGGUGUGGUCCAAUUGAUGAAAAACUCAAUGAUGGUAUAAGCCUUCACGAAUUUGUUGAUGAAGCAUUUAAAAAGAAUAUGCAUGAGGUUGUCGAUCCCACAAUGCUCCAAGAUGACAGCAAUGCCGCUGACAUAAUGAAGAACUGUGUUAUACCACUGCUUAGAAUAGGCCUCUCUUGCUCUAUGACAUCACCCAAAGAGCGGCCGGAUAUGGGACAAGUUUCUACCGAGAUCCUUAGAAUCAAGCAUAUGGCCUUGCAAAUGGGUGUAUGA
rnacentral:rRNA from 1 species